GAUGAACGCUGGCGGCGUGCUUAACACAUGCAAGUCGAACGGAAAGACCCGGCGCUUGCUCGUUUCUCGAGUGGCGAACGGGGGAGUAACACGUGUGUAUCCUGCCCCUGUCUGUGUGAGAACAUCAGGGAACUGGGGCGAAUACCCCGGAUGAGCUCCUGCACCGUGUGGGUGGUUGGAAAGUGUCGGCUGUGGUGGCUGGACUCGAUGCUUAUCCGCUGGAUGGGCUGGUAGUUGCUUACCAAGGCUUUGACGGGUAGCCUGCCUGGGAGGGUGAACGGCGACAUUGGGCCUGCGAGACGGCCCAGAAUCCUACCGGCGGCAGUAGUGGGGAAUCUUGCAGAAUGGGCGGAAGCCUGAUGCAGAAACGCUGCGUGCGGGAUGCCGGGCUUCGGGUUGUAAACCGCUUUCGACUGUGCCGAAGAGUGAGUGACGGUAAUGGGUCAAGAAGCCACGGCUAACUACGUG
rnacentral:rRNA from 1 species